AGAGUUUGAUCAUGGCUCAGAACGAACGCUGGCGGCAGGCUUAACACAUGCAAGUCGAACGAUAUAGUGGCAGACGGGGGAGUAACGCGUGGAAACGUGCCUUUCACUACGGAAUAGCUCCGGGAAACUGGAAUUAAUACCGUAUACGCCCUCCGGGGGAAAGAUUUAUCGGUGAAAGAUCGGUCCGCGUUAGAUUAGAUAGUUGGUGGGGUAAUGGCCUACCAAGUCUACGAUCUAUAGCUGGUCUGAGAGGAUGAUCAGCCACACUGGGACUGAGACACGGCCCAGACUCCUACGGGAGGCAGCAGUGGGGAAUCUUGCACAAUGGGCGAAAGCCUGAUGCAGCCAUGCCGCGUGAAUGAUGAAGGCCUUAGGGUUGUAAAAUUCUUUCAUCAGGGACGAUAAUGACGGUACCUGAAGAAGAAGCCCCGGCUAACUUCGUGCCAGCAGCCGCGGUAAUACGAAGGGGGCUAGCGUUGUUCGGAAUUACUGGGCGUAAAGCGCACGUAGGCGGACUUUUAAGUCUGGGGUGAAAGCCCGGAGCUCAACUCCGGAACUGCCUUGGAUACUGGAAGUCUAGAGAUCAGGAGAGGUUAGUGGAAUACCGAGUGUAGAGGUGAAAUUCGUAGAUAUUCGGUGGAACACCAGUGGCGAAGGCGACUAACUGGACUGAUACUGACGCUGAGGUACGAAAGUGUGGGGAGCAAACAGGAUUAGAUACCCUGGUAGUCCACACCGUAAACGAUGAGAGCUAGUUGUCUGCAGGCAUGCCUGUAGGUGACGCAGCUAACGCAUUAAGCUCUCCGCCUGGGGAGUACGGCCGCAAGGUUAAAACUCAAAGAAAUUGACGGGGGCCCGCACAAGCGGUGGAGCAUGUGGUUUAAUUCGAAGCAACGCGAAGAACCUUACCUACGCUUGACAUGCCUGGACGUGACCAGAGAUGGGAUCAUUCCUUCGGGACCAGUGCACAGGUGCUGCAUGGCUGUCGUCAGCUCGUGUCGUGAGAUGUUGGGUUAAGUCCCGCAACGAGCGCAACCCUCACCCUUAGUUGCCAGCAGGUUAGGCUGGGCACUCUAAGGGAACUGCCGGUGAUAAGCCGGAGGAAGGUGGGGAUGACGUCAAGUCCUCAUGGCCCUUACAGGAUUGGCUACACACGUGCUACAAUGGUAGUGACAAUGGGUUAAUCCCAAAAAACUGCCUCAGUUCGGAUUGCAGUCUGCAACUCGACUGCAUGAAGUUGGAAUCGCUAGUAAUCGUGGAUCAGCAUGCCACGGUGAAUACGUUCCCGGGCCUUGUACACACCGCCCGUCACACCAUGGGAGUUGGUUCUACCCGAAGGUGGUGCGCCAACCGUAAGGAGGCAGCCAACCACGGUAGGUUCAGCGACUGGGGUGAAGUCGUAACAAGGUAGCC
rnacentral:rRNA from 1 species